AGCCAACUCAAGCAUAUGGAUAGCCGACUAAAUCAUAGACUUAGAAUGAAGAUAGAAAGAUAAAGAUUCAAGAAAUUUUUUUUAGCCAACCUAAUGAUCAACAUAAUCGAUCAAGACAAAAGUUUAGCCGACUCAUAGAGAGAGAUAGCUAACUCAGUCUCGGAGGUAAAAGAAUAUAGAAGAUAGUAUAAAAUAGUAAGUUCUCUAAGCC
rnacentral:lncRNA from 1 species